CAGUGAGCUGAGAUCACACCACUGUACUCCAGCCUGGAUGACAGAGCAAGACUCUGUCUCAAACAAAAGGAGGGUUUUCAUAGAAUUUCAUCAGUAUCUUUACUGAUAUUAAUUGGGGUAACUCAAAACAAUAAAAUAUGGUUGACAGACCUUGAUAUUACUCCUGUCUGAGCCAGUUUAUGUGCAUAAAAACAUAAUGAUAACAUAAAUAUCCAACAUUCAGCUAUGUAAGAAAUGUGCAGGUGGGAUAGGGAGUUAAAAAUCAGAAAUAAGCAUAGAUAGACAUAGAUAGUGAGGACUAAACUCUGAUUUUUUAUCUUGCCCAAGCUCCUACCUAAGGGGCCUACGGAAUCAUGCCCGGCAAACCAUAAAUUCUCAUCAGGUGGGUUUUAUUUGACCCUAUCAUGACUUACUUUUCAAUCUAACUCUAGCAUAACAUUAUGACAGAAGAAAAAAAUAUUUAACUUCAAAAUAUUUUCUUUUGCCAUACCUUUAAAUUGCCUUGCAAAGUAUCUUGUGGGAAAUAUCCAUAUUCUACAGAGAAUCUUCUUUCCCCUUUGUUUUCCUUCCUUUCUUUGCAGUUCCAGAAGAUAACCAACUAAGAGCCAGGCACCCAUUUAGGUCUGAUAAGAAACAUUUUACAACCUGCCCUCUCUCUAAAGUCUGGUAUCUGAGAGGCUGCUCUGCACAAUAAAACUUUGUCUCCACAAUUCUUUACCUUAACCUAAACAUUCCUUUCCAUUGAUCCUAGGUCUUCAGAUAAACUCAACCAAUUGUCAACCAGAAAGUCUUUAAAUUGAUCUAUAGCCUGGAAGCCCCCACUUUGAGUUGUCCCGCCUUUCCGAACAAAACUAAUGGUUUUCUUAAAUGUAUUUCAUUGAUGUCUCAUGCCUCUCUAAAAUAUAUAAAACCAAGCUAUACCCCCACCUUGGGCAAAUGUUGUCAAGGACCUCCCGAGAGCUGUGUCACAGGCCACGGAUAUAUUUGGCUCUGAAUAAAUCUCUUCAAAUAUUUUACAGAGUUUGACUCUUUUCAUCGAGAAUAAUCUGGCGCCCAAACACAUGGAGCCUCAGAGAAGAAUCAGGACCCCAGAGGAGUUGCUUGAAAUGGGAGCUAAGGUACUAGCAGGGGCCCAAUGAAGGCCAACCGAGUUCAAGCUUCUCCUCCAGUGAAAAUGGUCUUUUCUCAAUUGAAGGGAUCGUGGCCUCACAGGCUUCAAGGAAUGAAUCCGUGGACCGCGGUGGUCUUACAGAUGCAACUCCCUGCUGGGAACCCAAACCCGUUUCACCAGAAAAGAGUUUGACUCUUUUAAUCGACAAGAACUAAAUUUAAACUCAUUACAUGUGGGAGCCAGUCCAAGACUUAAUUCUUAGUUCAUCCAGUGAAAGCAUAAGGAAGGAAAUGGGCAUCUGCAAAGAAUCCAAGCAAGAGAAGGAGCAACCGGCUUGUGAACUCACUCCCUUAAGACAGCAUUAAUGUAUUCAAGGGGAUCUGCCCUGUGAUCCAAACACCGCCUACUAGGUCUCACUUCCCAACACUGCCACAUUGGGAAUCAAAUUUCAACAUGCGUUUUGUCAGCGACAAAUCACUUCCAAGCCAUAGCAACCACGUACCCACAAAUAAGAGUCGUAAUCUAUUAGGGUUUUUCUUAAGUUGAUCAUUUUUUCUGUAUAUAAAGUGACACAUUUCAGAAUAAAUUAGUAUGAUUUAA
rnacentral:lncRNA from 1 species